GUGAACGCUGGCGGUAGGCCUAACACAUGCAAGUCGAACGGCAGCACAGUAAGAGCUUGCUCUUACGGGUGGCGAGUGGCGGACGGGUGAGGAAUACAUCGGAAUCUACUUUUUCGUGGGGGAUAACGUAGGGAAACUUACGCUAAUACCGCAUACGACCUACGGGUGAAAGCAGGGGAUCUUCGGACCUUGCGCGAUUGAAUGAGCCGAUGUCGGAUUAGCUAGUUGGCGGGGUAAAGGCCCACCAAGGCGACGAUCCGUAGCUGGUCUGAGAGGAUGAUCAGCCACACUGGAACUGAGACACGGUCCAGACUCCUACGGGAGACAGCAGUGGGGAAUAUUGGACAAUGGGCGCAAGCCUGAUCCAGCCAUACCGCGUGGGUGAAGAAGGCCUUCGGGUUGUAAAGCCCUUUUGUUGGGAAAGAAAAGCAGCAGGUUAAUACCCCGCUGUUCUGACGGUACCCAAAGAAUAAGCACCGGCUAACUUCGUG
rnacentral:rRNA from 1 species